UGCCAGCAGCCGCGGUAAUACGGAGGGUGCAAGCGUUAAUCGGAAUUACUGGGCGUAAAGUGCGCGUAGGCGGUUUAGUAAGUCGGAUGUGAAAGCCCAGGGCUCAACCCUGGAAUUGCAUUCGAUACUGCAGAGCUAGAGUAUGGUAGAGGGAAGUGGAAUUUCCGGUGUAGCGGUGAAAUGCGUAGAUAUCGGAAGGAACACCGGUGGCGAAGGCGACUUCCUGGGCCAAUACUGACGCUGAGGCGCGAAAGCGUGGGUAGCAAACAGGAUUAGAUA
rnacentral:rRNA from 1 species